UGAUCACACUGGGGUCCAAAUGAUCCCAGAGCGCAUUUAACUAGUAAUUUUUGGACAUCCUAGAAUGAAAACUUCAUAGAAAUAAAA